CAAUGGUUUUGUUAUCACUGUUCGCGAAUCAUGGUUCUGGAAUAAGAUUAUCUCGCAUUCUGGACGGUUAUGAUCUUGAAUAAUUCACGAAUGUUCAUUACAUGCAGUAUCUCAACCAACGUGCUACUCAGUUUCAGGAAGAAAUGAAGGUUGAAAUACCUAGCCGAAGUGAAGUCCUAUCAAUGGCUUGGCAGAUCUUGUGUACCCUGAAUUUUUGCUGUCUAGCCAAUGCGGUGGCAUUCUGAGCAGAACUGGCGUUAACGAAUAACAGAAAGUAUACGAUCUCCGUACGAGCCACUUUGAUCGAAUUGCAGAUGCUCGGUGACUAAGAAUUUAGCCAACGAAUCCUGUAUAAGGCAAAUGAUGUCGAAGAAACGAAGAAAAAGAACGUUUAAUCUUGACAUAGUUUUUUUUCCAAAAUUAACAGAUUUCGAAGGAUGAAAAAAAAAAGAAUCCCGAAGAAUGAAAAUAAUCCGGAAGAAACUCUAAUUAAACGUACUAAACAAUAAUCAAAAUGGUUUUAAUCCUGAGGUUAUUCGACGGUUCAUUCAUGCACCAGCUCUGGUUACCAUACUUACUCAUCCGAGUAAUAUCUCCAUCAAUUUCCAUUUCACUUUGGGCUUCAUCCGUAUACCUGAUCAACGCUUGAAAAAUACCAUUUCCUGGUUCGGUAUGUACAGUAGCUUGAAUAAAAUCUCGUUUAUCGUUCAUUGUUAUAAAUUGUAUUUUUUUCACCUCUUGCAAUUCGAGUUUGGCGCAUUUAUCGUAUUUUUCGAUCAACUGAUUCA